rnacentral:misc_RNA from 1 species
UCCUGAAUCGUCUCUUUUCUCUGCGAGAUUUUUUGCGAGGUGCACGCGAAUAAAUUUUGCCGAACUCGCCGUCUGUCUUGAAUAAUUGUGAUUUGCAAUAUAAUUUGUAUAACGCAUAGCGCCAGUUUCAGUUGCAUCUACGCAUCCAAGCAAUAUAAUUAUAAGCAAAUAAGAAAAUUAUUUGACCUGAUUUUGCCAAUCCGAGCGAAAUAAAGUUAUUCAAGUGAAAUUUUGCAGAAAAUGAGAUCUUCAAUCGUAGCUCAAUAUGCCCUUCGUAUGAGUUUUGGACAGUCUUCAUCCCAGUCUGCCAGCAGUGUCUUCACAACAGCCACACCGGACCGUGUUGUGUCACGCUCUGCUACAAUGAUGGCCGUCUUUGGAAUUGCGAUCUCCUCAUUUAGUCUUAAGCAGAUGUUGGCCAGCAGUGGUGCUAAUAAGUCUUCCGAGGCUGCCCUUACUCUACGCAAACUUUAAAUGAAAAUAUGCAUAAGAUGGCACUUCGUUUAAAAAUUAUUAUCAAUUUGAUGCAAAAGCGAAAGAGAUACGGAGGGGAUUGAUGUAUAGAAGAGAGGCAAACAAUAAUAGUUUCGAGUGAUGUAAAGCGAGAAUGCGUGAAA